UUUACUUUCCAUGUUUAUGCAUCAUCUUUGCAUCAUGCAUGUCAUAUCGUGUCACCUUUGGUUUUUAAAUAAAUUGCAUUUGGUUUUGUUGCUCUAUAUGUUAUGGGUUUGUUCUUCCUCCUCUCUCUUGUUUCAUCUCACCACUUGUGAUGUUACAAGAAAAGCACAAGCCAAAGCCUAAACCUUUUCCUACCACUUGACCUUCCUCUUUUAAAGGUCAUGCCAAAAUUUCUUUUCCUUAUGGGUUAUUAUUCAACCCCCUCUCCUAUAUCUUCUAUUUUAUAAUUAAUCAACAUAACAUUUGUUUUGGUUACAAAUAAAACAUUUUUGGAUACAAUUAUUUUUUUACCAAUCUCUCUCUACACCAAAAAUAGCCAUACGUACCUUCUCUCUCUCCCUUUACAUGUGAGAGGCAUGACCAUAUCAGACCAUGUGCACUCCCUGGAGCUCCACGCCACCUCUUUCUCUUGAUCCACCGGCCACCCUGCCUCCCUCUUAAGCCACCAGCUCAGCUCCAACCCUAGCCCCAUCUUCCUCCUCCUCCAAAACUGCAGCCGCCGCCUUCUCCUUUCUCCUACCAAAGCUCCACCCGCAGCCAACACCUCGCCGCCGGCGACCACCAUCGCCAUGGCCAGCCUAGACCUUACCUGAGCGUGGAGAAGGACCACGUCGUCUCCUCCUCGGCCUGGGUUUCAUCCCGGUUCUUCAAGGACGUCAAGGAUCGCCAAGACCUCCUUCAACCUGUCCCCGGCCACGUCUUCGUCUAAGUCGUCGGCCAACCUCUUCGCCCCCUCCACCUCGCCAACGCCAACCUCAGGACACCGAUACCGAGCAGUUCGAGGAGUUCCUCUACAUCACCCCUGAAGACCGCGUUCGUGCUUUCUCUUCCGACUUGACAGGCGAGCCCACCCCUUCACCUAUUUUACAUUUUCAUGCUCUUUUGAUCUAUUGCUAUCCCUAUGUUGCGAUUCUGUUGUGUCACGUGUCCUAUUCCACCUGUUACCCUAUAUUACCGAGUUACACCUCCUCGCCCUAUCCAUUGUUUGUUGUUUGCCAGCUUUGCGAGUCGUAGGCGAGUUUAGGGUUUUGUUGAUAUCUCGAAAUGUUCGGGAUAUCUUGUUGGGUAGUUGUUUUACUUGCUAUAUCUGUUGUUGGAGAUAAUCAUGGCUCACCCUAAUGAUAAUAUUAAAAUGGAUAAGAAGAGGCAUCGGUGGGUCAGCUGUAUAUUUGGUUUUACCAUGGCUCACUUGUGUCCAAUUUUAUAAUUAGGACGAGUUCUUGUUUUCUGAUCCAAGACUGAGCGCACUAACCACACGUGGGAGGUUUCACUGGGACCCCCCUCGACCUAUUACCGGAACUGCUUCCACUGUCCAAGUGCCACAACUAGUUCGUAACGUUUUGUUUCUCCCGGGCGUGCAAGCUUGUUUCUUUGUGGUCCGAUAUUAUGGUGUUAUUUUUGGGGAAGCCUUUUGUGCCUUGUAACCCUGUUGUCUCUUGCACGCUCGUAGGCGCGGUACGUAUUGCUGAGGAUGGAUUCAUCCUGCGGGCACUGUUUCCAUCCGAAAGCCGUAGACGCAAACAGCUAGGUCCGCGUCGGAGUUCCGAUCGGGCUCUGAAACGGAUUUAACCUAGAUAGGUGGCUUCUUGGACUUGGUCUGUGGUGAAGGGAGGGGUUGUGAUGCGAGGUUUCGCCAGCAAGCUUUCUCAAAACCCUUGCUUGUGGAGUCGGACAUGCGUGUAUGGGUACAGUAGUGCAUCCCUGCAGGGUGAAAUCUUAUCGAUAAGCCGUGUCCGCGGUUAUGGACGACUUGGAGAUGUUUAACUCGAUCAUAGAACAACUUACACCUUAUUUUCCUGUUGUUAAUAAUUUGCUAAUAAAACUCUUUCAAAAGUGUGUGUGCCUUUGCAAUACCUCUUGGCGAAGGGGGAUCGCAUUGGCUGGGUUUUGUUUGCAGAGUAUAGAAUUGUUAGAUUAUGCGCUCUCUCACCUUCUCUAAUAGGCGAAUGUUGUAGCGUGUCUCUAUUGGUUAGUUGCUUUGCUGCCGCUAAACUCCACAUAUAGCCGGGUGAAGUUUAUACCGCCCACCAGCGAGCAUAGCUGGUCUAGUCUCGCAAGUACGUGCCUUUGGUACUUACCCUCGUUUUUCUCCCUCUUUUUCCGGAACCCGCUUUUCGACAAAACAGAUACGACAGAUGAUGAGGAGUACGCUGGAGGCUACUUCGUUGAGUUCACGGACGACGACUUCGUUGCGUAGCAGGAUCGUUCCUAAGGCAGCAGCCUGUGGCUUGUUGGUUAUGGAAUCCCGCUUGGUUAUCUUCAGGACUCUUAGUCCCAUUUGGAUCUUGUCUGUACCUAGACUAUUUGCUACCUCUAUGUAUGAUGUACUGAUGGGAUAUGUGUCCCUUUGCGUGUCAUUUGGAUCUUGCUCAGUAGAGCGUUGCUAUAUAUAAACUUUAUUUCCAUC